AGUCGAACGGCAGCACGGACUUCGGUCUGGUGGCGAGUAGCGAACAGGUGAGUAAUGUAUCGGAACGUGCCUAGUAGCGGGAUAUGCGCGGCGUAGCUAAUACCGCAUACGCCCUUCGGGGGAAAGCGGGGGACCUUCGGGCCUCAUGUAAUGAAACGGCCGAUAUCGGAUUAGCUGAUUGGUGGGGUAACGGCUCACCAAGGCGACGAUCCGUAGCUGGUUUGAGAGGACGACCAGCCACACUGGGACUGAGACACGGCCCAGACUCCUACGGAGGCAGCAGUGGGAAUUUUGGACAAUGGAAACCUGAUCCAGCCAUCCGCGUGCGAUGAGCUGGGUUGUAAAGCACUUUUGGCAGGGAAAACGGCACGGGAUAAUACCCCGUGCAACUGACGGUACCAACAGAAUCAGCACCGACUAACUACGUGCCAGCAGCCGCGGUAAUACGUAAGUGCAAGCGUUAAUGGAAUUACUGAAAUAAAGCGUGCGCGAACAGUUCGGAAAAGAAAGAUGUGAAAUCCCGGAAACCUUUUGUUACAUUUUAACUACUGACUAGAGAGUGUAUCAGAGGAGGUGGAAUUCCGCGUGUAGCAGUGAAAUGCGUAGAUAUGCGGAGGAACACCGAUGGCGAAGGCAGCUCCUGGGAUAACACUGACGCUCAUGCACAGCGUGGGGAACGGCAGGAUUGGAAAUACCUGGUAGUCCACGCCUAAACGAUGUCAACUAGCUGUUGGGGCCUUGGGCCUUGGUAGCGCAACUAACGCGUGAGAUUGACCGCCUGGGAAGUACGGUCGCAAGAUUAAACUCAAGGAAUUGACGGGGACCCGCACAAGCGGUGGAUGAUGAAGUUAAUUCGAUGCAACGCGAAAACCUUACCUACCCUUGACAUGUCUGGAAUCCCGAGAGAUUUGGGAGUGCUCGCAAGAGAACCGGAACACAGUGCUGCAUGGCUGUCGUCCAGCUCGUGUCGUGAGAUGUUGGGUUCUGAUCCCGCAACGAGCGCAACCCUUGUCAUUAGUUGCUACGAAGGGCACUCUAAUGAGACUGCCGGUGACAAACCGGAGGAAGGUGGGGAUGACGUCAAGUCCUCAUGGCCAUAUGGGUAGGGCUUUAUCAUACAAUGGUCAGGACAGAGGUCGCCAACCCGCGAGGGAGCCAAUCCAGAAACCCGAUCGUAGUCCGGAUAACGAUCUGCAGCUCGGCUGCGUGAAGUCGGAAUCGCUAGUAAUCGCGGAUCAGCAUGUCGUGACCGAUGCAUUCAGGUCUUAUGCACACCGCCCGUCACACCAUGGAGUGGUUUUACCAGUAGUUCAACUAAACAUAAGGAGGGCGAUUACCACGGUAGGAUUCAUGACUGGGGUGAAGUCGUAACGAGUAG
rnacentral:rRNA from 1 species